UGGGGAAUAUUGCACAAUGGGGGGAACCCUGAUGCAGCCAUGCCGCGUGAAUGAAGAAGGCCUUCGGGUUGUAAAGUUCUUUCGGUGACGAGGAAGGUUGAUAGGUUAAUAGCCUGUCAAAUUGACGUUAAUCACAGAAGAAGCACCGGCUAACUCCGUGCCAGCAGCCGCGGUAAUACGGGGGGUGCGAGCGUUAAUCGGAAUAACUGGGCGUAAAGGGCACGCAGGCGGUGACUUAAGUGAGAUGUGAAAGCCCCGAGCUUAACCUGGGAAUUGCAUUUCAUACUGGGUCGCUAGAGUACUUUAGGGAGGGGUAGAAUUCCACGUGUAGCGGUGAAAUGCGUAGAGAUGUGGAGGAAUACCGAAGGCGAAGGCAGCCCCUUGGGAAUGUACUGACGCUCAUGUGCGAAAGCGUGGGGAGCAAACAGGAUUAGAUACCCUGGUAGUCCACGCUGUAAACGAUGUCGAUUUGGGGAUUGGGCUUUGAGCUUGGUGCCCGUAGCUAACGUGAUAAAUCGACCGCCUGGGGAGUACGGCCGCAAGGUUA
rnacentral:rRNA from 1 species